rnacentral:rRNA from 1 species
GGUUAAGAUAUCAAAGCUCCGGCGGUACAGGAUGGACCCGCGUCUGAUUAGCUAGUUGGUGAGGUAAUGGCUCACCAAGGCGACGAUCAGUAGCCGACCUGAGAGGGUGAUCGGCCACACUGGAACUGAGACACGGUCCAGACUCCUACGGGAGGCAGCAGUGGGGAAUAUUGCACAAUGGGCGAAAGCCUGAUGCAGCAACGCCGCGUGAGCGAUGAAGGCCUUCGGGUCGUAAAGCUCUGUCCUCAAGGAAGA